UCUGGUCUUUGGAGCGGGGUGGAACCAACUCUUCCCUUCCCGAACAGAGUCUUGAAACGCCCCAGCGCUGACAAUACUGCACGGGCAACUGUGUGGGACGAUAGGUCAAGGCCAGAA
rfam:Candidatus Pacebacteria bacterium RIFCSPLOWO2_01_FTLL_47_12 rifcsplowo2_01_scaffold_738, whole genome shotgun sequence.